rnacentral:lncRNA from 1 species
GGCAACCCAGUCCAGUCCCCUUCCACACUGUGGAAGCUUUGUUCUUUUGCUCUUUGCAAUAAAUCUUGCUACUGCUCACUCUUUGCGUCCACACUGCCUUUAUGAGCUGUAACACUCACCGCGAAGUUCUGCAGCUUCACUCCUGAAGCCAGCCAGACUACGAACCCACUGGGAGGAACGAACAACUCCAGAUGCGCCGCCUUAAGAGCUGUAACACUCACCGCGAAGGUCCCGCAGCUUCACUCCUGAGCCAGCAAGACCACAAACCCACCAGAAGGAAGAAACUCCGAACACAUCUGAACAUCAGAAGGAACAAACUCUGGACACACUGCCUUUAAGAACUGUAAUACUCACCGUGAGGGUCCGCGGCUUCAUUCUUGAAGUCAGUGAGACCAAGAACCCACCAAUUCCAGACACAGUGGGAUCACAGAGAGAGCCAACAGUCCAGGCCAUGACAAGCUGGGACCCAGCUCUGCUUCACAAGUAAGUUAUUCCUCUUCUAAUUGUCCCGCUAGGUGAAAUUGAUUAAUCAUUUAUUCAGAAUCUCCACUUCCUGCUAGUUGUCCAUCUGGCGUGGCUGUAGCUCCUUCCUGCAAGGCAAUGCUGAAGAAGCUAUGGAAGCAAGAAGGAAGCAUGGAUUCUAAAAACUGACAACAAACCACUUACCCCUAUUGCUCUUCUUCCUAAAGCUAAAGGAUCAAACUGCAUCACGGAAGCUGCACACGAUGACACCCUGUCUGGAAAGUUUUUGCCAGAGGGCAAAAGACUGCAAGCAGAAUAUCCCUUUGCCAUUUCUCAUUCAGGACUGGCCGUUGUCUGAAAGCAAACCUCAAGGACAGGACUUCUGGACUCCGCAGCCACUCCAGGCUGCUGCUCCAUCGCAUGAAUUCCAGCAGGUGGCGCUGCACCCCGCGCGGACCCGGCUUGCCUCUCUCGGCCCCAGGGAGGUCGGUUGAUGAGCAGUCGGGAAGUGGGUCUGCGCGCACCCCGCUGCAGCUGUGGCAAACGCAAACGAUGACACACAGGCUUGACGAGGGCCUUUGUCAGAAGCAAUGGGGAUCUGGCGUCACCGCACAAUGGAAAACAAAGUGCUUCUGCCUGGCUGGCCAGAAUGCACGUUUGCUCACUAUUGAUGCCGGGGCAUUUACAGGCAGAAUGAGUUCAUGUGAAAUUUCAGGAUCUGCCAUGACUCAGAUUCACUUUCUGUAAACCAGAGUCAACAUUACAUUUCCCUUUACUCUGGGCCAUUCCUUGAAUUUUUAGGUCACCAGUUGUUUUUGUACUAACUGAAGGGAUUUGAGUAUUUCACAAGCACCUUAUUUUUAUUAGCAUUUUUAGGGCAUUACCAAUUUGGGACGGAUCUGUAGUGUGAGAGAUUGUUGUCACUCUUAGCUCCAAACGUAGGUUGACUUUAUAUAUUAUUUACAUGUUCAGAAUUAUACUGUGUAGAAAUUCAAAUGAAACUUGCAAAAUACUUUUCUGGCAGGAAGCCCUGGAGAGGAUCGUUCAUGGAAACAAGGAUGACGACUGGGGUAAGAAAUGCAGGUGACUCGUGAGUGGUCAGGGAGUGGAAGAGAAGACGGCUGGAAGGUUUUAGCAUUCAGAAAAAAAAUGGAGACAACUAGAGUUGAUCUGAAGAUUAUGGCAGAAUUCAAUAUUGGGGGAAAGAAACAAGAUGGGGGUUAGAAGUUAGAAACAGCAGAGCUCCACAGGUUGGAAAGGUUGGAAAGGAUUUGAGCAAGAGAACAAGAAGGAGCCUGCUAAUAGCACCCUGGGUUUACAUCAAGAGAAGCACCUGGAGAGAAUUAACUCGGGAGGAGGUGGGGGCAUGGGAAACCUUUUCAUCUCCAAGAGCGGGCAGGAACAGCAGCUGGCCUGAACUUGAAGGUACACCAGGUAGCUUGCCUGGGCCAGGAGAAGGUGAUUCUCUUCUAUGCCUCUCUCCAACGCCCUGCUUCUGAUGCUGCUCCUCUACCUGUAUUGAGGGGAAGAUACAUCCCUAAGAAGUUCCCUGAACCCCAUUCUUUGUUGUGGCUAACUGGUCCCCUUGGAAUUUUUCUACUAAUUUUCAAUUCCCCUUCUCACCUGGUGAAAUCUUAAAUCUUACUGUUCAAUAAAAGUUCUUCUACCAAAA